UACGAAGGGGGCUAGCGUUGCUCGGAUUGACUGGGCGUAAAGGGCGCGUAGGCGGUUUGCAUAGUCAGACGUGAAAUUCCUGGGCUUAACCUGGGGGCUGCGUUUGAUACAUGCAGGCUUGAGUUCGGAAGAGGGUCGUGGAAUUCCCAGUGUAGAGGUGAAAUUCGUAGAUAUUGGGAAGAACACCGGUGGCGAAGGCGGCGAGCUGGUCCAUUACUGACGCUGAGGCGCGACAGCGUGGGGAGCAAACAGG
rnacentral:rRNA from 1 species